UAGGGACUCUUCCGCAAUGGGCGAAAGCCUGACGGAGCAACGCCGCGUGAGUGAUGAAGGUCUUCGGAUCGUAACACUCUGUUAUUAGGGAAGAACAAAUGUGUAAGUAACUAUGCACGUCUUGACGGUACCUAAUCAGAAAGCCACGGCUAACUACGUGCCAGCAGCCGCGGUAAUACGUAGGUGGCAAGCGUUAUCCGGAAUUAUUGGGCGUAAAGCGCGCGUAGGCGGUUUUUUAAGUCUGAUGUGAAAGCCCACGGCUCAACCGUGGAGGGUCAUUGGAAACUGGAAAACUUGAGUGCAGAAGAGGAAAGUGGAAGUCCAUGUGUAGCGGUGAAAUGCGCAGAGAUAUGGAGGAACACCAGUGGCGAAGGCGACUUUCUGGUCUGUAACUGACGCUGAUGUGCGAAAGCGUGGGGAUCAAACAGG
rnacentral:rRNA from 1 species